rnacentral:rRNA from 1 species
GAAUAUUGGACAAUGGGCGAAAGCCUGAUCCAGCCAUGCCGCGUGUGUGAAGAAGGUCUUCGGAUUGUAAAGCACUUUAAGUUGGGAGGAAGGGCAGUAAGCGAAUAACUUGCUGUUUUGACGGUACCGACAGACUAAGACCCGGCUAAAUCUGUGCCAGCAGCCGCGGUAAGACAGAGGGUGCAAGCGUGAAUCGGCAUUAAUGGGCGUAAAGCGCGCGGAUGUGGUUCGUUAAGUUGGAUGUGAAAUCCCCGGGCUCAACCUGGGAACUGCAUCCAAAACUGGCGAGCUAGAGUAGGGCAGAGGGUGGUGGAAUUUCCUGUGUAGCGGUGAAAUGCGUAGAUAUAGGAAGGAACACCAGUGGCGAAGGCGACCACCUGGGCUCAUACUGACACUGAGGUGCGAAAGCGUGGGGAGCAAACA